AGGCUUAACACAUGCAAGUCGAGCGCGUAGCAAUACGAGCAGCAGACGGGUGAGUAACGCGUGGGAAUCUACCCUUUUCUACGGAAUAACGCAGGGAAACUUGUGCUAAUACCGUAUGAGCCCUUCGGGGGAAAGAUUUAUCGGGAAAGGAUGAGCCCGCGUUGGAUUAGCUAGUUGGUGGGGUAAAGGCCUACCAAGGCGACGAUCCAUAGCUGGUCUGAGAGGAUGAUCAGCCACAUUGGGACUGAGACACGGCCCAA
rnacentral:rRNA from 2 species